CCGAGUCUUAACUGGGCGUUAAGUUGCAGGGUAUAGACCCGAAACCCGGUGAUCUAGCCAUGGGCAGGUUGAAGGUUGGGUAACACUAACUGGAGGACCGAACCGACUAAUGUUGAAAAAUUAGCGGAUGACUUGUGGCUGGGGGUGAAAGGCCAAUCAAACCGGGAGAUAGCUGGUUCUCCCCGAAAGCUAUUUAGGUAGCGCCUCGUGAAUUCAUCUCCGGGGGUAGAGCACUGUUUCGGCAAGGGGGUCAUCCCGACUUACCAACCCGAUGCAAACUGCGAAUACCGGAGAAUGUUAUCACGGGAGACACACGGCGGGUGCUAACGUCCGUCGUGAAGAGGGAAACAACCCAGACCGCCAGCUAAGGUCCCAAAGUCAUGGUUAAGUGGGAAACGAUGUGGGAAGGCCCAGACAGCCAGGAUGUUGGCUUAGAAGCAGCCAUCAUUUAAAGAAAGCGUAAUAGCUCACUGGUCGAGUCGGCCUGCGCGGAAGAUGUAACGGGGCUAAACCAUGCACCGAAGCUGCGGCAGCGACGCUGAUGCGUUGUUGGGUAGGGGAGCGUUC
rnacentral:rRNA from 1 species